CUCUCCACUUCCUUAUUCCUUCUUUUCAUCGGAAACCCAUUAGUGCUUUACUUUCUUUAUUAGUAGGCUAAUAGGGAGGUCUAUGAAAUGUAUACGAAAAGGAUGAUUCUUUAUUCAUGUAAUUCCCGCGAGGAAAAGCUUAUUAAAAAGGUUCAUAGGUGGUCGUUUAACGGCCCACGAAUAUCUCUUUCUCAAUUUCUAUUCCUUCUCUUCUCAAAGGGGAGUAUA
rnacentral:lncRNA from 1 species